GAUGAACGCUGGCGGCGUGCCUAAUACAUGCAAGUCGAGCGAACGGACGAGAAGCUUGCUUCUCUGAUGUUAGCGGCGGACGGGUGAGUAACACGUGGAUAACCUACCUAUAAGACUGGGAUAACUUCGGGAAACCGGAGCUAAUACCGGAUAAUAUUUUGAACCGCAUGGUUCAAAAGUGAAAGACGGUCUUGCUGUCACUUAUAGAUGGAUCCGCGCUGCAUUAGCUAGUUGGUAAGGUAACGGCUUACCAAGGCAACGAUGCAUAGCCGACCUGAGAGGGUGAUCGGCCAAACUGGAACUGAGACACGGUCCAGACUCCUACGGGAGGCAGCAGUAGGGAAUCUUCCGCAAUGGGCGAAAGCAUGACGGAGCAACGCCGCGUGAGUGAUGAAGGUCUUCGGAUCGUAAAACUCUGUUAUUAGGGAAGAACAUAUGUGUAAGUAACUGUGCACAUCUUGACGGUACCUAAUCAGAAAGCCACGGCUAACUACGUG
rnacentral:rRNA from 1 species